rnacentral:misc_RNA from 1 species
GAUGAAGAACGUAGCGAAAUGCGAUAAGUAAUGUGAAUUGCAGAAUUCAGUGAAUCAUCGAAUCUUUGAACGCACAUUGCGCCCCCUGGUAUUCCGGGGGGCAUGCCUGUUCGAGCGUCAUUUCACCACUCAAGCCUCUCUUGGUAUUGGGCAACGCGGUCCGCCGCGUGCCUCAAAUCGACCGGCUGGGUCUUCUGUCCCCUAAGCGUUGUGGAAACUAUUCGCUAAAGGGUGUUCGGGAGGCUACGCCGUAAAACAACCCCAUUUCUAAGGUUGACCUCGGAUCAGGUAGGGAUACCCGCUGAACUUAAGCAUAUCAAUAGCGGAGGA